GGGAAUUUCCUAACUGAAGUCCCCAUGGCAUUGAAUGACCUCGUCUAUGUGGUUCAUCUCGACAUAAGCAACAACAAUAUACGAACUAUUAAAACACUGGCAUUUGACCGCCUUAAAUGUUUGCGUUAUCUUCGAAUAUCAGAAAUGCCACUUCUUAGUAAAGUAGGAGUAGAUGCAUUUGGAGGCCUGAAUCUCAGGGAUAUAUUUAUGACCAGAAACCCAAUGUUGAAAGAGCUGCCCGGAAAUCUCCUGCAAAACAUGGACGAGCUUCGCACUGUAGUGCUAAACAACAAUGGUCUGGUGACUCUCCCGAAAAGUUUGUGCAACUGGCAACAGAUAAUGGACGUCAUGCUAAAUGACAACAAUUUUAUCUGUUCCUGUAGCAACAGCUGGCUUCAGUCAUAUCGAGGCUGGGAUACCCGUCAAACUCAGCAACACGUCAAGAAAUUAAAAUGCCACAGACCAAAUAACCCCGAGGACUUUCUCAUCAAAGACUAUGAUUUUAGCCGCCACUACUGUAUGAAGUUUGGAUCGUCAGUGUCUGAUAAAUCACAAGUUCGGGUUGAGUUAAUAGCUGCCAUUAUAAUGCUUUUAACACUUUCAGUGAUUUUAUUUGUUUGUUACCGGAAGCAGUUGGUUUUCUGGUGCAGACAAUUUAAAUGCAAGCACCAUGUAGACUCCACAAUAACUAAAAAACCCAAAUACAGCCACCUAUCUAGAAAUGGUGAUCUUAAUUAAACACUUUCAACACAUGAGAUAAAACAUAUCUAUUGACGUAAUCGUUUUUAUUAAACUGAUUCAUCCAAACAAAUCAAUUGCCUUGUAAUGCGCAGAUAAUGAUACAUAGGAUUGUAUUAUGAUACAAUAUGAUGAGGAAUAUAUCGGGGAUAGUUUUUAAUUGUAUGCAACAAAACGAAAAUCGACAAAAAAUCACAUUUACAUCUUUGCUUGGAUUCUGUAUUUGUUUGUACUUUAAUAUGUUUUGUUGAUUAAGUUGAUUAUCACCAUUUGAUUGAAUGCGUUUUUAUGACCUCGACAUGUCAACAUUCCCUUUACUUACGUUUGCGUACUUGUACUUAUUACUGUUGUAAAUUUGAUAAAACACCUUUCCAUUGCGUUUUGCCAUUUUUUUCUUGUCCUUAGCAGCUGCUUCUUUUUAAAGAAUAUGACAAGCAAAGUUUUCUACAAAAUCUAUCAUAUUCGAAAUCUAUAUUAUGUACAUAUAUGCAAAAUUAAAUCCACAAUAAAAAGGAAAUUAAAUAC
rnacentral:misc_RNA from 1 species